UAAUUUAGCUAUUUGCCAAGACAACAAUUCCAGUUUUUUAAAUAAAUUAUUUUGGUUUAACUUGAAAUACUAAAAUAACAAAUAAUAAAAACUAAAUAGACAUAUUUAAAAAAUAAUAAUUUUGAAUUAAAAAAACACACAAAAUUACCAACAAAGUAACAAAUUAAAAGUGAAAACAGAAAAUCUAAAAAUAAAAUCCAAUUCAAAAUAUUCAGCAAAACUAUAAUAGUAUAUCAGUUAUUCUAAAAUAAAAAGAAAACUAUGUAGGUCUGUAUGUCUAAUUGAUUAGAGGGCGAAAAUUCUUUCUAAAUGUAUGGUGAUUGAAUAUGAGAAAAAGUAAGAGGGCUUGGUGUCAUCUCUGAUGCUACAGGGUCAUAUUUCAAUAUGGUUUAACACAUUUUUAUAUAAAUCAGCAGUGUAAAAACACUUUUAAUUUGUAAUAUGUGUUUCACAAUCAUCAUUUCAUGUUGUUCUGUCAGAAUCACAUGCAUCAGAUGGAUCUGGAGGAGAACUUUAUUUCUUGGCUAGAAUGGAUGUAGAUCGGUUGGCCGUGCUUUUAGACAUAUGGACAUGUGAAACAGAAUUUCUGGAGCACAAAAUCCAGCUCUUGAAUUGCUAUUUGGAGGCAUAUCAGCAUGUCACGGAUCCAGAUGAAUGGUUCAGGUUGGCUCAGGUCAUCACAGACAUCAUGCACAGAAGGCCACAGAUGGAUCUUACUGCUGGAUAUUUUGUUCAAGCUUACAGGGACACAAUUGUCUGCCUCCAAAGCCACCAACAGCUCAUCAAACUAGUGCUGAACAAUCAGAUUGAUGAGCAGAGACAAUAUCUGGAGAGAAUAUGGAGGGAGGGACAGAAUGGCUGUCCUGGUGAAUACGGCCUGCCACCAAAAUACAUCCCUAAACAUCUGGUAUCAGUUGGUGGAAGCAGGCCUGCUUUGAAGAGUGUGUAUUUUUUAGAGAUUCACCCCUCAUUGUGUUUGGCGUCGCGGCUGUACGAGGGUCUUGAACGGGCCUGUGCUGAACUGUGUGAGCUGCACAGAUCGAAAACACAGUCUCAAAGAGUCAAACUGGAGCAAAGUCUCUUGAAAAUGGCCUUGCGACACUGGGACUUGCUUGCUGCUCCUGGCUCAACCUACAGUUCUCAGAUCCAGAGAGAUGUACGUGUCUUUUUUUUUUUUUUGCUCCAAAUAAGCUGA
rnacentral:lncRNA from 12 species